UUUGAGGGAUCCCCACACUAAAUCCCAGAAGAGCCUUUUCAGCUGUGCAGGAGAGCUCUCAGGGCUCACCUGUGGGUUCCUCUGGAGGGUGGAGCUGCAGGAGCCAUUCGGGCUUCAGGUUAAGUUACAAGACCUGAGAAGGAAUACUGGGCCUGAAAUCUUGUCUGGCCAGGGGCUGGUGUUCAUAUGCUGCUUUGAGGUCAACUAAAAUCCUCUGUGGAGCUGAGGAAAGAGCACCUUCAAGAGUGUUUCUGCAGGUUAUGAUUCUGUCAGAGAUGCCGUGGCUGUAAGGAACUGGCAGCAAGGCAGGGUUAGCAGUUUGAGCAAGCAACAGGAGCUCGUCUUGUGGCUGUUCCAAGCAAGGCAGUGGAAAUGGGUCAGCUGUGUUGACCAAACUGGAAGUGUUUAAAUGCAAAAUAAUGUUGCAGUCGCUGUUGGCACUACAGUGGGAUCUCUGGCCUGUGCUUGCCUCUGCCAAGAGAUGAUUUUGUGUCUGGGAUGUUCAUGUUGCUACUACAAGCCUCAGUUUUCCUCACCUGUAAAGGACAUGAUGGUAUUUUUAAAGAAGACUCAUUGGCUGCCUUGAAAAAUUCACAUGCCUACUUCCCCAGAACUUGUUUUACCAUCCAUACACGCAGUACACAGCGCACCUCCCGAUUUUACAGAAAAACCCUGGUGUUGUUCUGCUCUUCGACCUGCAGCCUUCUGUACCCUGCAAACUGGAGCAAAAAACAUCUGUCUAAUCGAUCCUUAUUUAAUAAACAGUGUUAUCAAUGCCUUUGAGACAGCUGUAUGACAUGGGGACAUCAGGACAUUUGCUGGCUUGCCUUAAUUGGCACGGCAACGUCGGUUUUUGGCCUGGCACAGCAGAUCGAAAAUUGAAUUUGCAAAAUCAAACUGUAGUUAUCUACAUUCCUUGAUGUCCUCCCAGGUGAGCUACUGGGCUUCAUGCUAAUAACUUCUAAAGCAAGCAAACUUCAGCUAAUUAUGUGCUAGUUUAUUCUCCCUUGCUAAAUUUUGGCAGGUUGCUUCUGUAAAUUAUGAAAAAUAAAUGUGAAAUAUGCAGA